GAUGAACGCUGGCGGCGUGCCUAAUACAUGCAAGUCGAGCGAACAGACGAGGAGCUUGCUCCUCUGACGUUAGCGGCGGACGGGUGAGUAACACGUGGAUAACCUACCUAUAAGACUGGGAUAACUUCGGGAAACCGGAGCUAAUACCGGAUAAUAUAUUGAACCGCAUGGUUCAAUAGUUAAAGACGGUUUUGCUGUCACUUAUAGAUUGAUCCGCGCCGCAUUAGCUAGUUGGUAAGGUAACGGCUUACCAAGGCAACGAUGCGUAGCCGACCUGAGAGGGUGAUCGGCCACACUGGAACUGAGACACGGUCCAGACUCCUACGGGAGGCGGCAGUAGGGAAUCUUCCGCAAAGGGCGAAAGCCUGACGGAGCAAAGCCGCGUGAGUGAUGAAGGUCUUCGGAUCGUAAAACUCUGUUAUUAGGGAAGAACAAAUGUGUAAGUAACUAUGCACGUCUUGACGGUACCUAAUCAGAAAGCCACGGCUAUCUACGUG
rnacentral:rRNA from 1 species